rnacentral:lncRNA from 1 species
GGGCUUUUGCGGGAUGUAACGAAGGCUUUUGGACCAAGGUACCCCCGAACCCUAAUCAUUUUUCACUCCUAGCCUCCUUUGAAUACCCUCGCUCCCAUUUCCCUCUCAAACCCUAGCCGCCUCCUUCAACCACCACCAUGAAAAUACCCCAAAUCCAUGGAUUCCAAAGCUAUUAGAGGCCUGUAUCUACCUCCUAUGGAUUCUACAUGCCUGAUUAUCAUGGUUUCAAGGCCAUAACUUGAAGAAGUGGGGUCCAGACCUUAGUUAAUUUCAGUUCUAUGGUUGUCUUCUGUCAUGUUCUUGCUCCGGCCAGCUAUGGCCAUUCAAGCAUGACUCUUGACUUCUACUGCCUAGAUCGAUCAUCUUCCAAGCCUUUCUCACCAUCUGGGGUUCUUCUGAAACCCUAAACUUUGAGGUUCUUCCGAUUAUUUUAGAUCUGUUUUAGAUCUGUGUUUACUCUAAACUUUUAAACGUUUUCUCAAGGUUUCUUUCAAAACUUUACCUUCAAAACCCCUCACCUUUCUGAUUUUGGGGUUUGUUAAGUUAUUUUGAAGCCUUCUCUGAUUUGAACAUGUUCUACUGUGUUUCUUUAUGUUAUUAUUUUACUUGAGUUUUCAAGUUAAGGGCCUUAACCUUUUUGAGACUUUUUCGAAUUUAUUUUGUUAGUAUUUGUCUGAUUUAUUUGUUUUUAUCUCUAGACUCGAUUGUGUUGAAAACCCUAGAAUUUUGGGUUCAUUCGAGUCCUGAGACUAUUUUCUAUGUGAUUUACCUGUUCUUCAUGCUCCGAAUUUGAUUGGUUUCAAACCCCUAAUUUCUUUAGAUCUAUUCCAGUUUCUGAAGUUGUUUCAUCUGUUGCUCGACUGAAUUUCGAAAUCUUUCGUUUCAGCCUCUGUUUCUUUAUGUAAUUUUGACUUGCUGCUACCGAUGAAACUCUACUAUAUGGUCUUUUCACUUGACCCCUUUGCAUGUUAUUUGAUACUCUCUCUUUUCUGUAUUACUAAGUUACUGAGAUUGACCUAUGUGACUACCUUGUUUCGAUAGUCCACUACUUACUGACUUUGUGAUUGCAUGAAGCUUCUCUUUGUCAUAAGUUCAGCCUUGCAUACCUAGUGUUCAUGCACUCUUUUAUAUGCUAAAUUUCACUCUGAAAUGACCUUCAAUUUUGGACUAAUUUCAAACCUCCUUGUAUAAUUCCAAUUGCAUUCAUGUGCUAAGUAAUUGACUCUUUCCUUGUUUCACUUUAUUGAUUUCCCUGUUUCUUGAGUUGAUUUGAAAACUUUCCUUAGACGUUUGAUUCUCCUAUUUUUGACUUGGUUUAUUUUUUAUUCAUGGGAACCCCUGUUAUUCUCCCCAAAUCAGUAAUUUCGAAUCCCCGACUCCUUGUAUGUGCUGAUUGUCUCCAUAUUCUGCAAAUUUAUUGUGUUGUUUUUUACCUUAUUUGGAUAACCAAGUAUUUCAAAGAUUCUUUCCUUAAAUAAACCUCUAUGUACUUACCCCUAAUUGUUUAUUCUGCACAUGAUGCUUUACUUAAUUUCUUUCCUUAAAUGUUUUCUGCCCAGUACCGUUGAUUUUUACCCCUUAAUUUAGGGAAGUCCGUAUACUAAUUUGAUUUUAAUUAGUAUAUAGUUCCAUAAUUGCUGUUGAACUAUGAUUCUUGCCUUAUUUUCUACCUGUUUUCAAACUAUAAAUACCUGGCUCUUUCAUUAACACAGACAUACAAGAACAAUCUUAGUUUCCGAACUCACACUCACACUCAAAAGUAUUUUCUUGUUACUUGUAUUGUGGCCUGUUGUUAAAGUCCUGCUACCUGCUUUUACUGUAUUUUUCUUCUUUGAAUUGGUAUGUUCCGAUUAAGAUUCCAGCAUCACAACAAUGUGUUUACUUAAUACUUUUACAUUCUUGUGUGCCUAUUAAUUGUGUUUAGUUCAGUACUUAUUUUGAGCAUGCUGUAAUUUCCUUCUGCCUAUUCUGAAUCUAUUACGAAUCCUAAACCCCCACCACAAAUCUGUUCGAUGCUUAUGGUUUGUUUGAGGCAUGGUAGUACCGAAUAUUACUGCCCAUGACUCAAGCUUGAUCCCGUGGGAUCCUAAACUCUGUGUUUCUCUAGUAUUAUGUGUUCUCGUAGGCUUAUAGACAUGGUAGCAUCUUCUGUUGUUGUGCAUACCCAAAUCUUACCCUUGCCUAGGCACAUAGGCUUUUUGCAUCUUCUCAACCCCCCUGAACCCCUUUUGUAUGAAAUUAUCAACUUGUUUGUGGCUGUUUCCUUCUCCUUUAUUCCCUCAGAACUCUAUUUCUUCACUUGCACUCGCUUUUAGACUUAAUUUCUUCCCCUCUCUUGUGAGCCUUGCCUUGGGAACCAUUGAGCUUCCUCUGAACUUGGACACCUCAGGGCUGCCACUUCCAUACUGCACUUUUGCCUAUUCUGGUAAUACAAUUUGGGUGUGAGCACUAUCCGGAGUCCCUUUGAGGCUCAUAGGGAACUCUAACACACUCAAUUCGAGAAAGGCUUUGGAUCGGUGGUCUUUGAGUUGGUCUAUCUCACAACUCAGAGAGAAAGUCAAGAAUCAAGCUUCCUCUGGUUGUACUUUUCUGAUGUAAUUUUAUUUUUGGUUUGUAUAAGUUGUAAUAAGCAUUUGGGGUUGGCUAGUGAAAAGGAUGGGUAACCAUGUAUGCAAGGGUAGAAAUUAU